rnacentral:sRNA from 1 species
AAAAAAACAGAAAAAAAA